rnacentral:rRNA from 1 species
GGAUCCAGACUUUGAUUCUGGCUCAGGAUGAACGCUAGCUACAGGCUUAACACAUGCAAGUCGAGGGGCAUCAGUUUGGUUUGCUUGCAAACCAAAGCUGGCGACCGGCGCACGGGUGAGUAACACGUAUCCAACCUGCCUCAUACUCGGGGAUAGCCUUUCGAAAGAAAGAUUAAUAUCCGAUAGCAUAUAUUUCCCGCAUGGGUUUUAUAUUAAAGAAAUUCGGUAUGAGAUGGGGAUGCGUUCCAUUAGUUUGUUGGCGGGGUAACGGCCCACCAAGACUACGAUGGAUAGGGGUUCUGAGAGGAAGGUCCCCCACAUUGGAACUGAGACACGGUCCAAACUCCUACGGGAGGCAGCAGUGAGGAAUAUUGGUCAAUGGACGCGAGUCUGAACCAGCCAAGUAGCGUGAAGGAUGACUGCCCUAUGGGUUGUAAACUUCUUUUAUAUGGGAAUAAAGUGGUCCACGUGUGGAUUUUUGUAUGUACCAUAUGAAUAAGGAUCGGCUAACUCCGUGCCAGCAGCCGCGGUAAUACGGAGGAUCCGAGCGUUAUCCGGAUUUAUUGGGUUUAAAGGGAGCGUAGGCGGAUUGUUAAGUCAGUUGUGAAAGUUUGCGGCUCAACCGUAAAAUUGCAGUUGAUACUGGCAGUCUUGAGUGCAGUAGAGGUGGGCGGAAUUCGUGGUGUAGCGGUGAAAUGCUUAGAUAUCACGAAGAACUCCGAUUGCGAAGGCAGCUCACUGGAGUGUAACUGACGCUGAUGCUCGAAAGUGUGGGUAUCAAACAGGAUUAGAUACCCUGGUAGUCCACACAGUAAACGAUGAAUACUCGCUGUUUGCGAUAUACAGUAAGCGGCCAAGCGAAAGCAUUAAGUAUUCCACCUGGGGAGUACGCCGGCAACGGUGCAACUCAAAUGAAUUGACGG